rnacentral:rRNA from 1 species
GGCCAGACUCCUACGGGAGGCAGCAGUGAGGAAUAUUGGUCAAUGGCCGGAAGGCUGAACCAGCCAAGCCGCGUGAAGGACGAAGGUGCCAAGCAUUGUAAACUUCUUUUGUCAAGGGACAAAAUCAGGCUCGAGAGCCUGACCGAGGGUACUUGAGGAAAAAGCAUCGGCUAACUCCGUGCCAGCAACCGCGGUAAUACGGAGGAUGCGAGCGUUAAUCGGAAUUACUGGGCGUAAAGGGUGUGCAGGCGGUUUUGCAAGAUGGAUGUGAAAGCCCCGGGCUUAACCUGGGAAAGCCAUACAUGACUGCAAGACUAGAGUGCGUCAGAGGGGGGUGGAAUUCCAAGUGUAGCAGUGAAAUGCGUAGAUAUUUGGAAGAACACCGAUGGCGAAGGCAGCCCCCUGGGACGCAACUGACGCUCAUACACGAAAGCGUGGGGAGCAAACAGGAUUAGAUACCCCAGUAU